rnacentral:rRNA from 1 species
GCGCAGCAGUCGAGAAACCUCCGCAAUGCGGGCAACCGCGACGGGGGACCCCCAGUGCCGUGGCAUCGCCACGGCUUUUCCGGAGUGUAAAAAGCUCCGGGAAUAAGGGCUGGGCAAGGCCGGUGGCAGCCGCCGCGGUAAUACCGGCGGCCCGAGUGGUGGCCGCUAUUAUUGGGCCUAAAGCGUCCGUAGCCGGGCCUGUAAGUCCCUGGCGAAAUCCCACGGCUCAACCGUGGGGCUUGCUGGGGAUACUGCAGGCCUUGGGACCGGGAGAGGCCGGGGGUACCCCUGGGGGUAGGGGCGAAAUCCUAUAAUCCCAGGGGGACCGCCAGUGGCGAAGGCGCCCGGCUGGAACGGGUCCGACGGUGAGGGACGAAGGCCAGGGGAGCGAACCGGAUUAGAUA